rnacentral:rRNA from 1 species
UAGGGAAUCUUCCACAAUGGACGCAAGUCUGAUGGAGCAACGCCGCGUGAGUGAAGAAGGUUUUCGGAUCGUAAAGCUCUGUUGUUGGUGAAGAAGGAUAGAGGCAGUAACUGGUCUUUAUUUGACGGUAAUCAACCAGAAAGUCACGGCUAACUACGUGCCAGCAGCCGCGGUAAUACGUAGGUGGCAAGCGUUGUCCGGAUUUAUUGGGCGUAAAGCGAGCGCAGGCGGAAUGAUAAGUCUGAUGUGAAAGCCCACGGCUCAACCGUGGAACUGCAUCGGAAACUGUCAUUCUUGAGUGCAGAAGAGGAGAGUGGAAUUCCAUGUGUAGCGGUGGAAUGCGUAGAUAUAUGGAAGAACACCAGUGGAGAAGGCGGCUCUCUGGUCUGCAACUGACGCUGAGGCUCGAAAGCAUGGGUAGCGAACAGG